AGCGAACGUUUGCGGCGGGCUUAACACAUGCAAGUCGAACGAGAAUCUCUGCUUCGGUGGAGAGGAAAGUGGCGCACGGGUGCGUAACACGUGGGUAACCAACCCUCUAGACUGGGACAACUCGGGGAAACUCGGGCUAAUACCGGAUGUGGCGCAGAUGUCUUCGGACGUUUGCGUGAAAGGAGCAAUCCGCUAGAGGACGGGCCCGCGGCCCAUCAGGUAGUUGGAGAGGUAAGAGCUCACCAAGCCAAAGACGGGUAGCUGUUCUGAGAGGAUGAUCAGCCACACUGGAACUGAGACACGGUCCAGACUCCUACGGGAGGCAGCAGUGGGGAAUAUUGCGCAAUGGGCGAAAGCCUGACGCAGCCACGCCGCGUGAGCGAUGAAGGUCUUAGGAUCGUAAAGCUCUGUGGAGAGAGAAGAAGCCUGACGGUAUCUCUUUAGCAAGCACCGGCUAACUCCG
rnacentral:rRNA from 1 species